GGGAAACGGGAUGAGGGGCCAGCCCCAGGCCCUGAAACAAGCUUAUAGGGCA
rfam:Chlorocebus sabaeus isolate 1994-021 unplaced genomic scaffold Scaffold289, whole genome shotgun sequence.